rnacentral:rRNA from 1 species
CGUAGGGUGCGAGCGUUGUCCGGAAUUAUUGGGCGUAAAGAGCUCGUAGGCGGUUUGUCGCGUCGGCCGUGAAAACUUGGGGCUUAACUCCAAGCUUGCGGUCGAUACGGGCAGACUUGAGUUCGGCAGGGGAGACUGGAAUUCCUGGUGUAGCGGUGAAAUGCGCAGAUAUCAGGAGGAACACCGGUGGCGAAGGCGGGUCUCUGGGCCGAUACUGACGCUGAGGAGCGAAAGCGUGGGGAGCGAACAGGAUUAGAUACCCUGGUAGUCCACGCCGUAAACGGUGGGUGCUAGGUGUGGGGGGCUUCCACGCCCUCUGUGCCGCAGCUAACGCAUUAAGCACCCCGCCUGGGGAGUACGGCCGCAAGGCUA